CCUGAAGUGAAUAUAUACCUCCUCCUGCUUAGAAAAUCACUCUUCCUUUGUUUCCCCAUUUUUUUCAGCAUCUACUAUUCUUCUGAAUCUACUGUGCAAUCAAAUUAGCGAAUACUGAAAAUACCAGAGGUAUGUGGACAGAAGAAAGGGAAAUAAAUACAAGACGCUUUUACUUUUCAUGCUCCAAACACGAGGCACAUUAUUUUUAGUCCCAUACUGUGUAAGUCAUGUUUGCCGCAUGCUACAAAGAGGCACUAUCUCACAGUAGAUAUUGUAUUUGAAAUCAUAAGCCCUGUCUUCAAUUUUUCCAUGGUACUUUCUAAAAUCCCUUCUUCUCGCUUCUCAACACUUUGUAAAUUGGAUUCAACUCCAUCACUCAAAAUGACUCUCCAAAAUUAGCAAGGACUCACAAUUGCCAAAUCAAACGGUUCUUUCUCAGGUCUCAACUUCAACAUCUCGCAGUUGACUAUCUGGUUCACUUGCCCGUACUCUGGGAAGCUAUUCCUUCAUUCUCUGGCCUUGUUGGCCGACUCCUCUACAUUAUGCUCUUAACUCAGGUGCUCCCAAAGGUGUGUGUGUGUGUGUGUGUAUAAAAUGUUGUGUGACUCUGGACAAGUCACUUAACCCCAAUUGCCUCAGGGGGAAAAAAAAUCUCCCUUGGUGACAAAUGGAUCAAUGAUAUUAGUUGUUAUGGGUAUUUUGACGAUAACCUAUAGAAUAUGAGCCUCAGAGCUUUUAUUUUUUUCCUAGCAUUAGUUGGUUCCAGGCCUAUCUUACAAUUCUAGUUACAGGAAUUUUUUUACAUCUUUACAGAAAUAAUAUAUACAGCUCUAACUUCAUCACUUUAUCCCUACUUUACCCAUCAGGAUGCUCACCUACUCCAAAUUCUUGUUUAAAGAGUCAAUAAUCUUCAGCUUCAGCUUUAAUUUAAUUAUAACACCUUUUAACUUAAUUAUGACAUCUCUACAAAAAUAUCUGCAUUUUUUUGUGUGUGUGUCUUAGAUUCUAUAGUUUAAGGCAGGGGUCCCC
rnacentral:lncRNA from 1 species